rnacentral:rRNA from 1 species
CCCUUAGAUGUUCUGGGCCGCACGCGCGCUACACUGACACAGCCAACGAGUACCUCCUAGGCUGAAAAGCUCGGGUAAUCUUUUGAAUGUGCAUCGUGAUUGGGAUAGAUGAUUGCAAUUUUUCAUCUUCAACGAGGAAUGCCUAGUAAACGCAAGUCACCAGCUUGCAUUGAUUACGUCCCUGCCCUUUGUACACACCGCCCGUCGCUCCUACCGAUUGAAUGAUCCGAUGAAUAUCAUGGAUUGAGGAUGCAAGUAGGUUAGCCUAUCUUCAUCUUCGAGAAGUGAAGUAAAUCUUAUCAUUUAGAGGAAGGAGAAGUCGUAACA